rnacentral:rRNA from 1 species
AUUGAACGCUGGCGGCAGGCCUAACACAUGCAAGUCGAGCGAGCGGCGGACGGGUGAGUAAUGUCUGGGAAACUGCCUGAUGGAGGGGGAUAACUACUGGAAACGGUAGCUAAUACCGCAUACCAUCAGAUGUACCCAGAUGGGAUUAGCUAGUAGGUGGGGUAACGGCUCACCUAGGCGACGAUCCCUAGCUGGUCUGAGAGGAUGACCAGCGACACUGGAACUGAGACACGUUCCCGACUCCUACGGGAGGCAGCAGUGGGGAAUAUUGCACAAUGGGCGCAAGCCUGAUGCAGCCAUGCCGCGUGUGUGAAGAAGGUCUUAGGGUUGUAAAGCACUUUAAGUUGGGAGGCGUUACCAACAGAAUAAGCACCGGCUAACUUCGUGCCAGCAGCCGCGGUAAUAC